rnacentral:rRNA from 1 species
UACGUAGGGAGCAAGCGUUGUCCGGAAUCAUUGGGCGUAAAGCGCGCGUAGGUGGCCUUAUAAGUCCGCUGUGAAAGUCAAAGGCUCAACCUUUGAAAGCCGGUGGAUACUGUGAGGCUAGAGUACGGAAGAGGCGAGUGGAAUUCCUGGUGUAGCGGUGGAAUGCGCAGAUAUCAGGAGGAACACCAAUAGCGAAGGCAGCUCGCUGGGACGUUACUGACGCUGAGGAGCGAAAGCGUGGGGAGCGAACAGG